rnacentral:rRNA from 1 species
GUACACUCCUACGGGAGGCAGCAGUGGGGAAUUUUGGACAAUGGGCGAAAGCCUGAUCCAGCAAUGCCGCGUGAGUGAAGAAGGCCUUCGGGUUGUAAAGCUCUUUUGUCAGGGAAGAAACGGUGAGAGCUAAUAUCUCUUGCUAAUGACGGUACCUGAAGAAUAAGCACCGGCUAACUACGUGCCAGCAGCCGCGGUAAUACGUAGGGUGCAAGCGUUAAUCGGAAUUACUGGGCGUAAAGCGUGCGCAGGCGGUUUUGUAAGUCUGAUGUGAAAUCCCCGGGCUCAACCUGGGAAUUGCAUUGGAGACUGCAAGGCUAGAAUCUGGCAGAGGGGGGUAGAAUUCCACGUGUAGCAGUGAAAUGCGUAGAUAUGUGGAGGAACACCGAUGGCGAAGGCAGCCCCCUGGGUCAAGAUUGACGCUCAUGCACGAAAGCGUGGGGAGCAAACAGGAUUAGAAACCCGUGUAGUCCCAUGAU